rnacentral:misc_RNA from 1 species
CGCUCGCUGCCGUGCGCGUCUUUGUGUCGCUGCUGCAUCACUUCACGGCUCUCUCCUCGAGGACGAUCACUUCUACACCGAAACGUGAAAGGCACAACAGGAGAAUAACAAGAGAAAAAGGAAAAAAAAAAACGGUGCUGCCCAUGAGCGCCCACACCCGCCAAAUGGAAAACCCCACGGGGGUGGUGCACCGCUUCAUGCAGGACCAUCAGCGUGUAUGCGUGUGGCUUGUGCACGAUCCGCAGAUGCGGCUGGAGGGCAACCUGCUCGGCUACGACGAGUUCAUGAACGUCGUGCUGGGUGAUACGACCGAGACGAAUCUUCGAAAUAACAAGAGCUACCGUCUGGGCAAGAUAUUGCUGCGUAGCGACAACGUCGGCGUGAUCUACCCCAUCGGUGCUUAGAGUUGAGGCAGCGCUCGGUAGCAGUGACCUCUUCACAGAGUGGAGGGGCUUCGUCUCGUAUCUCCAUGCGUGAAGCACGCCGAUGCCCUGUUGGUAGUCAUGGAGGAGGACAUGUGUUGUUGUGUUGUCGUUUUGGUAGUGGUGCGCACUCGCGUGUGUGCGCGUGAAUGACGGAGGUGUUUUGUGUGCAUGUCUGCGCUGGAGUGCCAUCGGAGUGGGCGAGCACGAGGAGGGACGAGGUGCAGGGUGGCCGUGGGGCCGUGGGUGGAUGCUGCGUGAAAUCCUUCAGCUCGCUUUCUCUUUUUGUUGCCCUUCCCUCCGUGCCCCGCGUUCUUCUGUAACCGUUGCCCCUCUUGCGCGUCUCCCACUUCGCGUGAUUUAGC